rnacentral:rRNA from 1 species
UGGGGAAUAUUGGACAAUGGGGGCAACCCUGAUCCAGCAAUGCCGCGUGUGUGAAGAAGGUCUUCGGAUUGUAAAGCACUUUCGACGGGGACGAUGAUGACGGUACCCGUAGAAGAAGCCCCGGCUAACUUCGUGCCAGCAGCCGCGGUAAUACGAAGGGGGCUAGCGUUGCUCGGAAUGACUGGGCGUAAAGGGCGUGUAGGCGGUUUACACAGUCAGAUGUGAAAUCCCCGGGCUUAACCUGGGAGCUGCAUUUGAUACGUGUAGACUAGAGUGUGAGAGAGGGUUGUGGAAUUCCCAGUGUAGAGGUGAAAUUCGUAGAUAUUGGGAAGAACACCGGUGGCGAAGGCGGCAACCUGGCUCAUGACUGACGCUGAGGCGCGAAAGCGUGGGGAGCAAACAGGAUUAGAUACCCUGGUAGUCCACGCUGUAAACGAUGUGUGCUAGAUGUUGGGUAACUUUGGUUAUUCAGUGUCGCAGUUAACGCGUUAAGCACACCGCCUGGGGAUACGGCCGCAAGGUUGAAACUCU